rnacentral:rRNA from 1 species
GACGAACGCUGGCGGCGUGCUUAACACAUGCAAGUCGAACGGAAAGGCCCUGCUUUUGUGGGGUGCUCGAGUGGCGAACGGGUGAGUAACACGUGAGUAACCUGCCCUUGACUUUGGGAUAACUUCAGGAAACUGGGGCUAAUACCGGAUAGGAGCUCCUGCUGCAUGGUGGGGGUUGGAAAGUUUCGGCGGUUGGGGAUGGACUCGCGGCUUAUCAGCUUGUUGGUGGGGUAGUGGCUUACCUAGGCUUUGACGGGUAGCAGGCCUGAGAGGGUGACCGGCCACAUUGGGACUGAGAUACGGCCCAGACUCCUACGGGAGGCAGCAGUGGGGAAUAUUACACAAUGGGCGGAAGCCUGAUGCAGCAACGCCGCGUGCGGGAUGACGGCCUUCGGGUUGUAAACCGCUUUCGCCUGUGACGAAGCGUGAGUGACGGUAAUGGGUAAAGAAGCACCGGCUAACUACGUG